AAAUUUUUUUUUUUUAUUCUUGCUUUCUCAAAUUUUGUAUACAUAGAUUUUUUGAUUUUGAUACUGAUUUUGAAUUCUUUAAUGUAAAUAUGCAUAUAUAAAGGGUUAUAUUUUUUUCCCUUAAUUUUUUCCCUUUUUCUUCUUUUGAUUUUGAUUUUAUUUUGAUAUUGUUUUGUUUUUCUUUUGAAUUAACUCACACACCCCCACAACUAAAACUUGAAUCCUCAGCUGGACUCAGUGUUUUUUCAACACGUUCUUCAGGGGGGAUUGUAUUUCAUCAAAUCCAAGAUUUAAAUUUUGUUCGAGAGAGAAAUCUUCAGAGAAGCUUGCUAACUAACUGAAUCCAGAGAAUGAACUGUUUGCAGAAAGAUAUCUAAACCUUUUCACUACAGGAAGAUCCAGAAUGAACCUUGGGGUGUGGUUGAUUGAACAUUUUUUUGAAUGUACACUCUUAUGCCAAAGGGGACUGCCCCCUAAUUGGCUUUUGUCAAUGCGCCCAGCAAAACAUUGGUUUGCUGUCUUUCUCUCUCCUCUAUUUCCCCAUAUUUACAACUAUUAUAAUUUUCCUCUUAGUGGGUAGAAAAAAUUUUUGUAUACACUUAUAGUUAGAAAUUUUUGGGGUGCAGUAUGCUUAUGUUUAGUGAUCAAUUGGGGAGACUAGUCUCCCAAUCAUCAUCAGGGGGGAUUGUGAAUUUUAAAAGUCUCCAUCUUGGUCUAGCACCCAAAAAUUGUGCACACCCACACUACACGGGCAUGUGCUAGUCAAUGACUAAUCAGAAAUAACUAACUGCCCACCUGGGCUGUCCUAAGCCAAGCUAGAGCCAACCAUUGGAUUUGUGAGACACAGGAAGAGAGGUAGGGAACAGCCUCUGAGAUUGGCGGAACUUCCUGUGGAGAGAGCUAGGGGGAGUGGGUGUUAGGAGCUUGGAGAGAGAGGACGCCCGCAGACAGCUUUCCUUCAGAUCGGUCACGGAGUUAUAACAUAUGAUGGAAAAUCAAGGCACCUGCGUAGCAGAACUUCUGGACAAGUUACUCAAGUCCCCAGCUGAGAACAGACCAUGUUUGGCUAAAGAGGAUGGUGAGCCAUGCAGGAGAGAAUGAGGACCAGCUCUGGCAUAUGCAUGGCUUGGUCCAUAUUGUGCAGUUCCUGGCAUGUAAACUACCUCUACUGACUUAGAUAAUAUUGGAGACUUGCUGGGGAGAUGGAGAGGUGAAGUAGCAAGACAGGAACUAAGAGCUUCUAGAUUUCAAGGUGUGACCUCUAUGCAGCAUGUCAUGCUGUCUGCUACCUAGAUCU